ACGGGUGAGUAACGCGUGGGAAUCUACCCAUCUCUACGGAAUAACGCAUGGAAACGUGUGCUAAUACCGUAUACGUCCUUCGGGAGAAAGAUUUAUCGGAGAUGGAUGAGCCCGCGUUGGAUUAGCUAGUUGGUGGGGUAAAGGCCUACCAAGGCGACGAUCCAUAGCUGGUCUGAGAGGAUGAUCAGCCACACUGGGUCUGAGACACGGCCCAGACUCCUACGGGAGGCAGCAGUGGGGAAUAUUGGACAAUGGGCGCAAGCCUGAUCCAGCCAUGCCGCGUGAGUGAUGAAGGCCCUAGGGUUGCAAAGCUCUUUCACCGGUGAAGAUAAUGACGGUAACCGGAGAAGAAGCCCCGGCUAACUUCGUGCCAGCAGCCGCGGUAAUACGAAGGGGGCUAGCGUUGUUCGGAUUUACUGGGCGUAAAGCGCACGUAGGCGGACUAUUAAGUCAGGGGUGAAAUCCCGGGGCUCAACCCCGGAACUGCCUUUGAUACUGGUAGUCUUGAGUUCGAGAGAGGUGAGUGGAAUUCCGAGUGUAGAGGUGAAAUUCGUAGA
rnacentral:rRNA from 1 species